AUAUAUAUUAUAUAAUAUAUAAUAUGGGAUUGGCAGGGAGAUUGGGAGAAGGCUGCGGCGGAAUUUGGCAGUGAAGGAAUUGGAGGAUAGAAGGCCGCCGCGGAAAAGCAGGGAUUGGAGGAUUAAGAAGGAAGCAGAGAUUGGAGACUUACAAAGCGGCGCACAGGAGGACGAAAUUGGAGAAGCAGCCGCAACGCAGCGUACGCAAGGGUCACAUUCUCUGCUAUUAAUCUUUCUUUCCUUAUCAACACUAUUUCCGCACCAACGUUGCUUCCAUCCCGACACUGCUUUCAUCUACAUAUGAACGCCGAAGUAGACAUGGAAGGUCAAGGAUACAAUUUGCUGGAGUGCGGAGGGGUGAAUUGCAAUUUUUUUCGUGGCAUGAUCCUCCCAUGCCUGAACAUGUCUGGUAUGCUAUUAAUGAGCUGACGAAAAGAAUAAAGAAGGUUGAGAAAGAGAGGAAGAGUUUGAAGAAAAAAUUGGCACUAUGUUUUUUUUUACUGCAAGCUACCUUCGUUGAAAUGCAGAUAUUGGAGAAUUGUAGGUUUGCAUGAAGGAAAGAAAUUAGACCCUUUUUGAGUUCAACUCUGGAAUUAUAUUUUAGAAAACUUGAAGUUGGUUAUGUUUUAUAAAUUCCAAGUUGAACUUGUUUUCAAUGAAUUGUGGAAGGAAAAAUUCAAUCCCCUGUUUUAUUAAUCAAUGUUUAGGUUGUUAUAAUGUACUCUAGCAUUUGGGACCUCCGUCAAGCAAAUAACUCCCAAUCCAAUAAUUUAAAUUCAAAACAUUUUCAGAAUCAAACUCAACACAAGGUAUCAAGGAAUAAGUUCAUUUCAAAAUCAAACAUUCAACACAAGGUAUCCCACAUUAGACUUUAGUAUUCACUUAAUAAUUUAAAUAAAAAACAAGCAUUAAAUGCUAAUUGCACUAUUUAAUUACAUAUAUUGUUCAGUGCUUAUAUUUGAAGCAUGCCCCUAAAAUGUUAGUUGGUUGGUGGCACUUUGCUAAGAAAGCAUGUUGGUUGUCGGAGUCUUGAUACUUUGGUUGAGGUGACUCCACUUUGUUCUUGUCUUUUUCGCAAUUGGUCAAACUUUUGCUAUUGAAGUUGGUUGGUUAUUACUGCAUUCUUUCUUUUCAAUUUCAUCCCUAGUGGUUUAAAGCCAAUGGUCACCUAUGACAACUGUUAAGCUCUUUACUUUCUUCAGGCAUAUAUAAGUCUUAGAGUGGAAUUUAGUGACUGUAUACCAACAAAUAAGAAAUUCAAUCAAUCUGACAAAUUAAGCAAAAUUUCACAUAAUGACAUAUUUAAUAUAGGUAAGCAGUAUACAUCACAUGUCAUGAUCCCAGCAACUUCGUUGUACAAGACUCUCAUUUCCCUCAUCACAAUCUGUCUUUUAGAUUGAGAAGUCACUGGUGGAGUUGCAUAAGACUUUUUAGGACUAUUAAUACCAACAUUUGGACCAGUAACCCUCCCUGAACCUUUUUCAACCUCACACCACUACUAGGAACAUUUUGAGUGGAACCUCUUUCUUUACCCUUACCCAUGCCACUUGGUUGGAUUGUAUAACCUGAACCUACACUAACAGCAAAGAUAUAUUGCUCAAAACAUAGAAAUAUAAAUCUAUUGCACUAUCUUAGUUUUCUUGAAAAAUACGUGUAAAGAUUAAAUGAUCAAUUGUUACCAAUAUUGACUCCAUGACUCAUCCUAGAUACAUUUGCAUUCAACUCAUAUUUCUUGACUACUGAAAAUAUAAAAAUAUAAAAAGUCAAUAAAGUAUUAUAGGAAGUUGAUAUGUUAUGUUAAUCAAGACUUUACCGCAUGAUUACUUGAACUUGCCUUACAACCUUUCAUCUCCUAAAAUAUUUACCAAUUUCUCUUUUUGGUGCAUCUCUAUCCUUAUUUCUCUUAAACUUUGGUCUAACUAGUUGUUUCUUAGGUUCAGGUGAUUGAAUAGUUGGAUUUUUUUGACUAGCCACAAUUUCAUACCUCUUACUAGUUGCAAACUAAAUCUGUAUGACGUCAGAUAAGUCUCUUUUCUACACCACUUUGCAAUGUAAUCCUCAAGAUUCAGCUUUCUAUGGAACAAAGCACAUAUAACAUGUUAGCAAGAUAUCCCUUUCAAGUCCCAACUCCUACAAAUACAUGUCAUGUUCUUCAAGUCCACAAUAUGCCUAUACUUCCCUUCCAAAACCUCAAAAUCAAUUAUCCCCAUUCCAUCGAAACUGACAUUUCACUGUUAAAAUUUUAUUCACCUCCAACUUCUACAUAGCAUGAGGUGAAAUAUCUAAAAUCCAUGCAUUUGCAAAUUGUCUCAUGGCUACAAUCCUUUCCAUCACUUGUACUCUAAUUUAUUCUAACAGAGACUUUAGUCUAGCAUUGAGAAUCCAACUAUUGAAAGUUUCACUCAUGUUAUUAUCUACAAUCACAUUGAUAAUUUGUUCUAAAGAAUACCAUGCACCAUGCAUUUUGGUUAUAAUACAAGAGGUCCUCAACUAUCUAUUUUCCAAGGUUAUUCAUUUCAUUCAAUUUUUCCUUUAACAACUACUCAAAAGGUGUCCUUGUAACCUCCUUAAAUUUCUUUCUCCUCUCCUCACCUCUCCACUUCUUAACCUAGUUUGACCAUAUGUACCUAACACACAUCGUAUGCUCAACUUCUAAUAACUCGUCAACAAUUGCAAAAUCCAAACUCUGGCAUGCAAAUUUUCAAUUCAUGUAUUGACAUUAUAUAAAGCAUAAUUAGUAAAUGAAAAAUAAUUAAUUGAACUAUAAGUUCAAACACUACACCUUUUGCAUGUUUGUGACCAACCAACACCUGUAGUGAUGCCAAGGUUCAUCUUCACAGUAGAGAUAAACCAUUUUCAGUUUUUCUUGGUUCUCUAUAUCCACAACCCCCCAAGCUAUUGAAUACAUCUGAUUAUUAUCAUCCUUUGAUACACAAUUUAAAAGUUGACUCCUACAUGGAAAGGAUUCAUCAAACCUUAGAAUCUGUUUAUACCUAGCCUUAAACCCCUUCUUGAUAGUAUCAAAACAAACAUAAAACCUUCUGAAAUGUUGUAGCUCAUCUUCACCAUUUUUGAAUUUAACAAAACAUGUAGAUCCAGGAUUGAAUCUCUUAAUUUCAUCUGCAUAGUUAUGCAACCUAUCAUAUUCAACCACGUAAUCGCCUGUCAUACUUGCAAGUAACUUAUUCUUUGCUCUGCAAACUGUUUUCCCCACAAACACAUUCAAUAACUCCCUACAAAGUUUUUGAAUUUUUCUAACUUUAAUACUAGAUUUUGACAAAAUACUAUCCAUAAAAUGCUAGCAAUAUACUUUGAAUUAGAUAGCUUAUUUCUGUUAGUUCUAUAACACUGGUGUACAGGGCUAUAAGUUUUAUAAUGAAGUUUGAUUUUUUUUUUUCUACACCAGCAAACAACAACCACGGUCACCAUUCCUUGCACUUAACCUUACCCUUUUAGGCUCAUUAGGUCUAAUGAUGAGGUCAACUCCCCUUGCAAUAACAUACUUAACCACAGUUGCUCUGAAUUCAUCCACACUCUGAAAAAUCAUACCCAACUACUAGUAAGGAAUUUCAGUGUUUGGAUCGUAACAAACAUUUCUACCUCUACAUCUUCUUCUUUCCCCAGACUCAACCUCAUCUUCAAAGUCUCCCUCAGUACCCCCUCUGCUACCAGGAUCAGAGCUAUUCUCAUAAGACUCACCACCUCCAGUUACACCCCUUCAUAAAGUGUUCACAACAAGUUCCCCCUGGAAACCUACAUCAAUACCAAAUCCUUUUAAUGGUACAUCAUGCAAAUGCCCCUUACUUGCAGCUCUGGUUUUCCUUUUGUAAUUCCUUACCCUCUUUCUAGCUGUCCUUAACUCAUCAUCAACAUCAUUAGUAACUUGACCACCCUUAACAUCAUCUUCUUCUGAUGAGUCAGUCCUUUCCUCACUUUUAUCUCAACUGCUUUCCUAAAUGCUUUCCCCCAACGCCUUAAAACCAAAUUCUUACACCCUAUUGCCCUUAGUUAUUAAAAGGGUUAACCUCACUUUCUAAAUGCUUAACAAAUACAUCCACAAUAUCACCAUCUAUAGUUGCAGCACAGAAGUCUAUCACAUCCUGAUCUCUCUCAAUCAAAGUGUAAUGCUGGACAUCACCACCUAUAAGCCACCCAUAGUAAAUGCCCAAGUGGUUAGCGUAUCCCAAUUCUCUGACACGAGUUUGCAAUUCAAAAAAUAACAGCUUAUCUGGGUCCGCAGAGUCUACAUUUUGCAAGGCACCAAUAUACCUCUUCUCCCUAUAAUCAAUAACAAAAGUACCCCCACGGUUCCACCUUAACCUCACAACCUUUUCAGCUAUGUGCAAUCAGCUUCCAAAAUGUUCAAAGAAUACAAUAAACAAAUAUAAUUUCAAUUAGGGACUAGCAACACAGUCAACAAAAUCCAAUAAAUUAAUACCCAAAACCAUCAAUAAACCCUAACCAAAAAGACAAUCAUACCCACAAUAUUUUGUCAUUACUAGUGAAAUUGCAGAGCCGUUGCAGGUGAAAUUGCAAAGAGGGGUUAGGGUCGGCAUUGCUGGUGAAAUUGUAGAUUCAGUUGCUGAUUGCGAAGCAAUGGCCAAUCCCUAUGAAUCAUUUACAGAGACAACAAGUCAUAAAAAAAGCCCUGCAUUUUCCAUUAAACGAGAGCAUAAACCCAUGUGCAUAGCCCUAAAAUUGUAGAGCCAUAAUCAAUCUCCUCUGUUGUUCUUACCUCGUUUCGAUGGAAAUCGCCAACAAUCGCAAAGCCAAUCUCCUUCACCAACAUUUAUGUUCUUGUCAACGCUGCUUCCUUACUGAUGCAAUCUUAUCUUUUUCGAAAGCUUUAAUUUCUGUUCUUGCCAAAAAGCCAAGCUUCACCGACACAAUUUUCUCUUCUCCAACAUGUUUCUCUUCUCCAUGAAAUUCAUUGACAUUGGUGUUCUUGUUGCAUCGGUCAAGAUUCAUUGACGAGAUUUUAUGGUUUUCCAACCGGUUUUUGUUCUCCAAAUAAAUUAAUCACUAGGGUUUCGGUCAACUAUUUUGUUGUUAUCCCACAUCAGGCUGCGUGCAGUCACGGGUUGCAUUUUGGAUAAAUAUGUGUGUAAUUGUUACAAAAUUAUAAAUUGAGAGACACAAUAGGUCAAAGUUUAAAUUAGGAGUGCCACACGACAAAAAUAGUAAAAUUUAAAGACAUUUUAUACCUUUUACCAAUACUUGUCAAACUUACUUAAUGUACAUGAUGCCAUUGACCAUAUCAUCUCAUUGUCACAACAAAUGUCUAAUCUCACAAACUUUGAAAAACUAAAAAUUUCUUAUUGGAUAUUUUAUCCUAAAACACAUCUCAACUGUUGAAUAAAACAACUUUAAUUUAUCACAAUAUGUUCCAUUCUUUAUCUCUAGGUAAAAAAUCUAAAUCGUAACUUAGUGUUGUUUUAAAUAAUUGUAUACUUCUCUAUAGCUUCAAGCAACAACAAACAUUAAAUAAAUAGAAUUCCAUCAGGUCUUACAAUCAAGAUUCAGUUUUUUAUGCUUUCAAUGCCUAAAAGUCGUAUCAUUUCUUUAUAUUUUGGCAAAAAGGCAUAGAAAUGUCCAUGAACUUUGGCAUUUAGGCCAUGUGGCACCCCCAACUUAAACUUGAACCUAUUGUGCCUCUCAACUUCUAAUUUUGUAAUAAUUAUACACCUCUUUAUCCAAAUGCAAUGUGUGAUUGCACAUGGUCUAACGUGGGAUAACAGUCAAAUAGUUGAUCGAAACCCUGGUGAUUAAUUUAUUUGGAGAACAAAAACCCAUUGGUGAGGAGAUCAAAAACACAUCGGAAAACCAUGAAAUCUCAUAGGUGAAUCUCGGCUAACGCCACAAGAACAUCAACGUCGGUGAAGUUCAUGGAGAAGAGAAACCCAUCAGAUAAGAGAAAAUCAAGUCGGUGAAGCUCGACUUUUUGAUAAGAGCAAAAACGUCGGUGAACCUUUCAGAGAAGCCCAUAAGAGAAGAUAAAAUCACGUUGGUCAAGAAACAACAUUGACAAAAACAAAAACGUUGGAGACUGAGAUUAGCUUUUUGGCUCUGCGAUUAUUAGCGAUUUUCGUCAAAACGAGGGAUCGACCAUUGCU